rnacentral:rRNA from 1 species
GACGAACGCUGGCGGCGUGCUUAACACAUGCAAGUCGAGCGGUAAGGCCCUUUCGGGGGUACACGAGCGGCGAACGGGUGAGUAACACGUGGGUGACCUGCCCUCAGCUCUGGGAUAAGCCUGGGAAACCGGGUCUAAUACCGGAUAUGACUCCAUGACGCAUGUUGUGGGGUGGAAAGCCUUGUGCGGCUGAGGAUGGGCCCGCGGCCUAUCAGCUUGUUGGUGGGGUGACGGCCUACCAAGGCGACGACGGGUAGCCGGCCUGAGAGGGCGACCGGCCACACUGGGGACUGAGACACGGCCCAGACUCCUACGGGAGGCAGCAGUGGGGAAUCUUGCGCAAUGGGCGAAAGCCUGACGCAGCGACGCCGCGUGAGGGAUGACGGCCUGGU